CCCUAACCUAAUUAACUCUGAGAGCUUAAUUAAACCAUGGCUGAGAAAAGCAAGAUUUUGGUGAUUGGGGGGACAGGACAUAUCGGAAAAUUCAUAGUAGAGGCAAGUGUCAAACUGGGUCACCCCACGUUUGCUUUAGUAAGAGAAAGCUCUGUUUCUAAUAAUCCUAAAAAGUCCAAAAUCAUCAACAGUUUCAAGGGCCAUGGAGUAACCUUGCUCUACGGAGAUGUUCAUGAUCAUGAGGGUUUGGUGAAGGCUAUCAAGCAAGUGGACGUUGUGAUCUCCACUGUUGGAGCGGAACUAAUGGCUGAACAGCACAAGAUUGUUUCUGCUAUUAAAGAGGCUGGAAAUGUCAAGAGAUUCCUUCCAUCAGAAUUUGGAGGAGACGUUGAUCUGAGCCAAGUAGUAGAGCCUGCUACAGACUACAUCGAGCUCAAGCGCAAAAUACGGAGAGCAGUGGAGGCUGAGGGGAUUCCGUACAUCUUCAUUGUCUCCAAUGGCUUUGCUCAAUAUUUCUUAGCAAGCUUGGGACAAUUAAAUGCUAAAGUUCCUCCUAGAGACAAAGUGGUCAUUUUGGGAGAUGGAAACACCAGAGUAAUUCUUCUGGCAGAAGAAGAUAUAGCAACUUACACAAUAAAAGCAGUGGAUGACCAAAGAACUUUAAACAAGAUUCUAUAUAUGAGGCCUCCUGCUAAUGUUUUAUCAUUCAACGACAUAGUUGCUUUAUGGGAGAAGAAAAUUGGCAAGACCCUUGAUAAGAUCAAUAUUCCAGAAGACCAAUUGCUUAAGAACAUCCAAGAGGCUCCUUCUCCACAUUUCAUUUUGGCUAUCAACCACAAUGCAUUUGUGCAGGGAAAUUUUGACAUUAAGGUUCCUUCCGGAGUAGAGGCUUGUCAGCUUUAUCCUGAAGUGAAAUACACUACAGUUGAUAAAUACCUUGAUCAGUUUGUUUAAUUAUGAUUACUGAAUUAAUUUCUUUUUAAUUUGAGAAUUUAUUUUCACCCCAAAUUCCG
rnacentral:misc_RNA from 1 species